CCGGGUUCUCUGCCCCUUAGACCCAACCCUUGUGUAUAUAAGUGUCCCUUCCUGAAGUCGUGUUGAGAACCGAGGGCGCCUUAUCAGAGCCAACAUGAGAGAGGAGAGGGUGAGGUCCGCCAUGGUGGUAGCUUAGGUUCGAUCACCGCCGGGACCUCCAAGCUUGACUAGGGUGUUUGCCGUACCCCGGGGGUUGUGCUCAAGGGUGUGAUUGAGCGUGGAAGGCCUCAACAGCGCCUUAAUUGCUCAUCAUCGUUCGUCGCUGCCGCCAAGCUGCCCUUCACCAUGGUUUGUGAGCUCUACUGCUCGAACUGAGGUUUGACAGGCUGCUGAAAAAGCUCUAGAUAUUAGACGAA
rnacentral:lncRNA from 7 species